ACAAACCCACACCACGAAGUUCUUCGAUGAAUCGCGAUUCCGAAAUCACCACCGCCACUUUCCUCUCAUCACAACGAACCCGAUGUUGGGUUUCGAUUCGUGAAAGCCGAACCCCGGACACGACUUGGACGAGCUCCGAUGUAGGCUCGACUUCUCGACGAGUUUCUCAUUGUUCGAGGCGUAGGUAAGUUUUAGACUCCUACCAAUAUCUUCAUCUUGUUGAUAUACUGUUGCUCAUAAAGAUUCUUAAAUGAACUUUAUGAUGAGAAAGGGCUAAAGAUUGUGUACAAAGAUUCUUAAUUAACCUUCUUUUCUGGUACGCUUUUAGAUCCUAGCCCAAACAAAUUUUAAAGUGUCAAUAACAAUUCUUUAAUUUUAAUUUGGACAAUUUACUUUUAUUACUUGUUUUGUAUAUAUAAUGGUAGAACACUAAACAUUUACUUUUUGGAGUAGAGCGAUAUCGUUAAUGCAUGGAUUAAUUAGUUAGUUGUUAGGAUGUAUAUGUAAGAACUUGUAAACAAACAAACACCAAGACCAAAACAUGAACCACAAACAAAAGGAAACCAACCCAGUUAUGUGCACAUAAAUAACCAGAAAGGAAAACAUACCUGCAGCUGCACCAGAACUCGUAGCCAUUGCAGCAAACUUUCAGUGAUCCUUCUCUUCUUGCAGAUUGUCAAGAGCUCAACUCACAGAUAGGUUAUGGUCCAAUAUGAGCGUUAGUUCUGUGAGAAUAGAGGUCACUAUAUAUAUACAUAUAGACUUCACCAAAAUAGAUCAGGAUUUCCUAUCAAAAUCCUCUUCGGAAACAAACACUUGUUUCUUGAUGCUAACCAAAAUCAUUUUCAGUCAAGGAUCAUCAUUCCUUUCAUCAAUAGGACUUUCUAUCCAAAUUGAAUACUUAUAACCGGUCCUAAAACUUCUCUAUCUCAUACUCAUAUUCUUACAUUCUCCCACUUGAGUAUGAGAACAGUUUCAAGUACACAGUUUAUCCAAUCAUACUUAGAUAGAAGUGAUCACUAACAGAUAAUCAUCUCAAAUUAUUAUAAAGGUGAUCACAUAAUUAAGUCAUUCACCAACACACAAGUACAUAGACACAACCAGCUUACAUAAACCAAAACAAUGAAUUUAUAAUUGCCUCUGCAACACAAAAUACAGAUUUAACUUACAAAUCACAAUGUCCAGUUCAUGUUCAUAGCAAUGUAUCUAAGCUCAAAAGUAAACCAAGACAUCUACUCCCACUCAUAUAGCCACCAAAUCUUUUGGAUAACAAAAGCUUAACCUCACAUACAACUUACCCAUGCAUUUUAAAGUAUUGAACUUAAGAAUUUUUUCUGUUACAUCGCAGAAUUAACUCAAAAGUCACAACAUACUUAAUUUUGCACUUUUGUAAUUAUGUGAACCAAAUAUAGCAAAAACCAAACCAAUUUGCUCCCACUUAUCUAGGCUAUACUUAACACAAACAAGUUAAGUAUAAGUUAAUAUCAACUGUAUUAACUAACAGUCAUUGCAAUACAUUGAAUGUCUUAUCAAUGUGAUCAAUUGCCGCAACCAAUAUGCAAACAAAUUCCAUUAGCACAUUCAUCCAAUUUGUAUUUACAACAAUGUGAUUUUACUUGACCAAAACAAACACAUAAAUUGAUUUGCUCCCACUAUAUCAAGUUAAGUUUAGUUCCAGCAAAUAGCACUAAACUUCUCAUUACUUAAACAAAUUAAGUAACAUAAAUAAUUACCAAUUGCUUCAAUAAAACCAUAAUCUGGUUUUCAAGCAUCCAAAUGAAUUAUAAUGGCCGGCCUAAAUAACCUUAUGCUUACAUUCGAACAUAUGAUUCUCCCACUUAAGCAUAAGCAGAAUGUACUGCACAACCAAUAAAGAAACCGGAGAUAUGAACCAAUUGAUUCCCGAUUCCUUACCAAUUGCAUAAUCUCAGUUUAGUCAAAUACACCUAAACCAUUAUGCAAACAGUCUAUGUAUCAAAAGAUAGUCACAAUCCAUUCCGAAAAACUUAUCUCACAUAAACCCAAAAUCACCAGUUUCAACAAUAAUCAAAAUUAGAAUAGCAAGCACAAUAUUCUUGCAUUCAAUUUGAUCCUAACUAGUUCAAUACCCAUCGAGCAAGAUCAACUAAAAUUUGAUAAUGUCUGGAUAUAAAGGCACAAGUCAUCUUGAUUAAAACAAGAUAAUCAAGAUGAUCAUCCAAUAAAAUUUAGUGUACUUAUAGAUUUAAUACAUAAUAUCAAAUCUCUUACACUUACAAUAUAUCAAGUGAGAUGAGUUUCAGAAUACAUUCUUGCCAACAAGUUUUCACUAAACAAUUUAUAUCAUUUCAUAUAGGUACUAACACAAGAGCAUUCACAUGUUUUUGGUUAUACAGUGCACAUAUUGGCAUUAACGAACCCAAAAAUUCCGAACUACAUCAUUCACAUAUAUGCAACACCCCCAAAACCUAUUAUAUAUAGUCUAACCAAAAUUGGGAUAUGAAUUACACUCAUAAUUUUAAAAACGUCAUUAUGGAUACUCGUAUAAUCCAAUUUUGCUUUUCUAAAAUAAUUCAAACCAAUCAAACCCACAUAAAAGCCAUAGGUCUUUGGUAGCAACAAUAAGUCAAAUUCUAUUAUCAUAAUUCAUAAUGGAAAAUCAUGAUGCAAGCUUCCAAGUUUCAAGCAAGUUAAUGAGAAAUCUUACAUCUGCUUGAGACAACAAAAUAGCAACAAAACAAUAUUUUCCACCCAAUCUAAUUACACAUGCUCUAACUCAAAAAUAGAAGAUGUACACCAAAUAUUAGUCUAAUGAAUCUUUAUGCAGAAAGAAUGAUUCUAGUCAUCUCACAUAAAUCAUAAGUUGGCAUCUAUAGAGAUUUCGAGUUUAAUUGUGCCUUCACAAAAUAAACAAGCAUACUCGGAAUAGCAAAAGCUCUAAUUCAUUAUGCUCCAACUCAUCGCACUAUAAUCACACAUAUAGGAGAACAAUUAAUUAUACAUGAAACAGUGAACUGAGUUACCUGAAUGCAUCAUUGGACUCGUAUUUGACAACCCAAUUGCAAUUCCUUGGCUCCAAAUCAACGAAACAAAUUAUCCAUCAAUGCUCGAGACCCAUCCAUACAGAUUGCCAUGGUUACAGACGUGCCGAACCAAAAUCAUCGCCAAAGUGACGACCAGAAUCCCGUCGACCCAAAUUCCCACAAAAAAAAAAGACAAACCAUGAACGUUAAUAUCUCUUAGACAAACAAAAACUUAUUAAUGUCGUCAUAAUCAAGAUUUCAUCUUUCUUUUAUCUUACUAAUAUUUGGUCAGGCAUAUUUUAUGCACAUCUUUAUUCAUAUAAAGGAUUAAGAAACCACAACUACCUCAAUCUUAAGACAUCAUAGUGAACACAGCGGAAGCAAUAAUUCUCAAAAUUAGAACUAUGAUGUUUAAGAUAAAUGUGUUUUGCUAAAUCACUUUAUUGAUCUCCAAAGAAGCAAGCAAGAAUAAGUUCACCCUUUCCCACGUGCAGCAUAAUAUAAAUUGUUAUCAUACUAGAUUUAUACCAGAUUCACAUAAUCUGUAUGCACUAAAACAUACACAGGUAUUGAAAGAAUUAAAAGCAAUCAUACCUUUUAAUCACUGCAGACUUAUAGACAACAUAUGCAACAACAUGCAUCAACGGACGUCUCAUGCAUAAUGAUCAUUUUUCAUGGUUGUUUAAGAAACACAAAACCAUCAGUAGAAAAUGCAAAUCAAAAUUUUUCCGCAGAUAUGGAAAAAUUCAGCAUUGAUUAUCAAUUCUAAUCAGAAAUAUCAACACAUACCUCCUGCAGAUUUCAAUUUGGAAUAGCGCAACAGAAAUAAUUAUCCAAAUUGAAAAAAAAUUAAUUUAAGAGUUGAGAGAAUCACAAAACCCAGAACAUGUUUUGAUCGAUGAAGUUGCUAAUCAAAACCCCAAAUUGAGAAAACAACCUCAACCAAUAGAUUUGCAGAAGAAAAAAAACCAAUGGUAAUAGUUUAAAUAUAUUUUGUCAUUAUCUGGAGAUCACAUACCACCGAUGCAUCUAAGAUGAAAACAUUGAGGUUUGCACCAUCAAUUAGCCCGAUAUCAAUCCCCAAAAAUCCUGACGGUCAAUUUUAUUUUAUUAAUUCUCUGCUUAUUGAAAACGCAAUGUCGUUUUCGUGAAACUCUUUUCCAGCGAAUUCGUUUAAACCAGUUUCGAAACCUGGAAGUCGCAAAAUUUAUUUAUCUAUUUAUAAACACAUUCGACUUUUCUCCUUUACAGAUUUGAACUCAUGUUUGUGUCUUGUGGCUCUGAUACCACAUGUUUGAACUUGUAAACAAACAAACACCAAGACCAAAACAUGAACCACAAACAAAAGGAAACCAACCCAGUUAUGUGCACAUAAAUAACCAGAAAGGAAAACAUACCUGCAGCUGCACCAGAACUCGUAGCCAUUGCAGCAAACUUUCAGUGAUCCUUCUAUUCUCUUGCAGAUUGUCAAGAGCUCAACUCACAGAUAGCUUAUGGUCCAAUAUGAGCGUUAGUUCUGUGAGAAGAGAGGUCACUAUAUAUAUACAUAUAGACUUCACCAAAAUAGAUCAGGAUUUCCUAUCAAAAUCCUCUUCGGAAACAAACACUUGUUUCCUGAUGCUAACCAAAAUCCUUUUCAGUCAAGGAUCAUCAUUCCUUUCAUCAAUAGGACUUUCUAUCCAAAUUGAAUACCUAUACCGGUCCUAAAACUUCUCUAUCUCAUACUCAUAUAUUCUUACAGUAUAUGCAUGGUUGAUUUCCCUAAACCCUUAGCUUCCAAGCAAAUGUGUUUGGCUUACUUAGGAUUCUCAUUCCGUGAUCCCAGUCCCCGAUUUGCUGUGAUCUUUCACAGAGUAUCUGAAUUCGACCAAACACACUCUACCCGAAGGCGCAUUUAGCAACUUUCUCGAACCUCCUCACUAAUGAGAUCUUCUUCGUAGUAUGUAGGCUUUGCUCCUUGGAAUUUGGUAUUGGAAGGAUUAAAAAAGGAUUAGAGAUAAAAGAAAUUCCUUACAAUCCAACCAUUUUAUAGGGGGGGUUGGAAUGUUUAAAUUUUUUAUAAAAUGCAAUCCAUUUUGCCCUCAAAUUGGACAAAUUUUUUUAAUUUCUCGCUUGAUAGUACCUUAAUUAAAGCAAGAUAAUCAUCUCACUCCAAUGCUGCAUACCAAACCAGGCCUAAUCAUCUCACUCCAAUGCUGCAUACCAAACCAGGCCGUAUGGCCUAAAGGCACGUAGGCAGGGUACAUCGUUGUCAAGCAUGCGAAGUUAAAUGCUGCUUAGGUCAAUGCGGGGAGACUUGUUUUCUAUGGACCUUGAUUCUAUGUCCUAAUUUUAGAAGGGAAAACGCGUCUGAUUUGCACGAAGAAAAGCUGAAAAGCAAGAUAGAGUUUCGGCUGUUCAAAUCUUGACGAGCUUCCGAUUGAGAUGUCGAAGAUGGAGUCUCUGAAAGUGUUUCAAGCAGAUAGAGUUUCGAUACAUCGAUUACUCACCAUCACUGAGGUCAUCUUAC
rnacentral:lncRNA from 1 species